AGUGUCACUAGUGUCAGUGAGAGACUUAUUUUUUAUGAAUUUUCUGGCUUGUUCAGAAUAUUUCACAUAACAACAGUGAUGUGAAAAAAUAAUAAGUGUUUUAAAUAAGAAACUAAUAUGCCGUUAGCAAAUUCGGGUGAACCAUGGCAAGUUCAUCACGCCGAUUCAGAGCCUUUGGAGUAUCCAGACCCCUAAGAAUAGUGUCUGUACGUAAAUUGUUUACGUUUUUUGCAACUUUUUGUAAUAGCACCAAAAACAUCAUUUACUCUCGCUGCAUGACAUUUACUCAAGUAUCAAUUGUAUUGGACAGUUUACUUGCUUUUAGCUGGCAAGAAACAUAUGAUUUGAGUAACUUUGGGCUGAAGGGGUGAUUAUACUAAAAAACUUUCUCCUGGUCAAGUAGAUAAGUAUGUAUUUGAUGAGUUUGCAUUACCUGUUGCUCCUGUUUAGCCUCAAAAUAUCCACAACUAUGACUAUGCCAAUCUAGAUUACCAAGAACCAGGGAUGCCACCAGUAAAUGAAAGAGUUAUGGUAGGAUGUUGCCCAAAUUAUCCUGUUUUAUUGGAAAUUAUAUUUCUUCAAAUAAAAAUGCCAAUCUAUAAAUUUCUCAUCCAGUUCUGCACCUCUAUGAUAUGAAAUGCUAAGGCUGAUAAUAAAUGGAGAUAUGAUGAGGAAUGAGUAUAUGAAGAAGAAGAGUGAUAUGGUUAAAAAUUUAAGGCACUGGAUUAAAUGUAGUCCCUGUUGCUUUGGUCCUUGCCAUUUUCAUUCCUUGGACAAUUUUGGAAUCAGGAAACGUGUCUUUUAACAGAGAAAUGAUCACAAAUUCUCAUUGGUAAAUUAUGUUCCACUAUUAGAGCUGCAAGUUUGGGUUUCUUUUGCUUAACACAGCAGUAAUCUUGGUUGACUUAUUGCAAUCUUUUUUACAUUACUUUGGCGUUUAGCUCCUUUGCUGUGAUUUUUCAAAACUUAUGUCUGCUUAAAACUCUGUAUUGCAGCAAUGCAUAUUGUGGAUUGUUGAGUGGAUUUUUCUAUAAAAA
rnacentral:lncRNA from 1 species